CAGCAGCCGCGGUAAUACGGGGGGAGCAAGCGUUGUUCGGAUUUACUGGGCGUAAAGGGCGCGUAGGCGGCCACCGCAAGUCAGUUGUGAAAUCUCUGGGCUUAACCCAGAAAGGUCAACUGAUACUGCGGGGCUAGAGUGCAGAAGGGGCAACUGGAAUUCUCGGUGUAGCGGUGAAAUGCGUAGAUAUCGAGAGGAACACCUGCGGCGAAGGCGGGUUGCUGGGCUGACACUGACGCUGAGGCGCGAAAGCUAGGGGAGCGAACGGGAUUAGAUACCCCGGUAGUCCUAGCCUUAAACGAUGAAUGCUUGGUGUCUGGGGUUAUAUAGUCCCCGGGUGCCGUCGCUAACGCUUUAAGCAUUCCGCCUGGGGAGUACGGUCGCAAGACUGAAACUCAAAGGAAUUGACGG
rnacentral:rRNA from 1 species